UUUAGUAGAGAGGAGAUUUCGCCAUGUUGGCCAGGCUGGUCUCAAUCGCCUGACCUCAGGUGAUCUGCCUGCCUCGGCCUCCCAAAGUGCUGGGAUUACAGGCAUGAACCACUGCACCCGUCCCACUGACUUAAAUUUUCCUCUUCAGUGGCCAUUGAUAUUUCGCCUGGAAGGAAAUAUCCAAGAAUCCCUAGAACUCUUCCAGACGUGCAGUUCUAAGCCCUCAGAGUGCUGAUAACCUCAAGCACGUGGCGAGAUCUUUAUUUCUUUUGGGAAAACAUAAAGCUGCCAUUGAAGUAUAUAGUGAAGCAGCUAAACUCAACCAGAAAGAUUGGGUAAGU